GAUCUUAAAAGUUUUACAUUCAGUUCAACACUGACAAUAAACAACUUCAUGUGCUAAAAGGUAGAAGUCAAAUUGUAAACCAAAAACACUUGCACCACCAAGGAUUAAUGUCAAAAGUAAGUCAUAUCAAAAGGAUAUCUGGAGUUGUUCCCAUUUGAAUCACAUACAUAGUAGAAAAUGUCACAGUUACACUCCCAACGCUACCUACCGGAGACUUGAAAAGUACAAUAAUGGCUUCAUCUGCUUCAUUUUGAUUCUCAAUGCCUUUUAAAAGGCUUCUAAUUUUUGCAACGUUGCGACUGGAAAAGCUAUUGACCGAAAUUCCAUCAGUUGCAAGACAUUGUAGAAAACCUAUUAUAGCUCAGUAAGUGUUGCCAAUGGAGGUCCUGCGGAAGUGAAGUAAGAUCCAAGAUCGAUAUCCUGGUCAUCGUACAUGGUGAUGAAAGGGUGACUCAUGAGAUCAUUUGCCGACAGUCUGUCCUUCUGGUGCUUCUGGACACAUGCAGAUAUGAAUGAGCAGAAUUGUGGAGAAAAUUGGUCAGGAGGUGCACAAGGUUCUGGUUGGUCAACUAUGGUUUCCAUAAGUUCAUAGACAUUGACCCAUCCUUCAUCUCCCUCGGGUGGUUUAUAUGGGAAAUGACCUGUUGCACACUCGAGCAAGACUAAACCCAAGCUCCAAAUGUCGCUUUUGUAAUCAUAGGCACCUCCUGAAAUUCUCUCUGGAGACAUAUAGUUGUAUGUGCCGACAAAGGUAUUGGCCAGUCCAGAUGUGCUUGCUAGUACUGCACUCACACCAAAGUCUGUGAUUUUGACAUCACCUCUGUGAUUGAUUAGCAAAUUCGAAGGUUUCAAAUCCCUGUGAAUAAUAUGCUUCUCAUGAUGAAGAUACCACAAGCCUUUGAGAACCUGUUUGCAGAUAACAGCAAGAAAUCGUUCAGGUAUUGUUUUGACCUUUUUCAGAAAAUCUGCUAAGGAACCACCAUCCAUAUACUCCAAAAUCAAGGAUAUAGCACCAUUGUCGAAGAACGACUGAUAGCAUAUGACAACAUAUGGACACUGGGAUGACUGAUUAAUUCUCAGUUCUUGAGCAAUAUGUUUGCGCAUAGACUCAUCAAUAUUCAUCUGAAUAACCUUGAGAGCGAAAAAUUGCCCUGUCCAUUUAUGCUGAACCAGCCG
rnacentral:misc_RNA from 1 species